rnacentral:lncRNA from 1 species
GGAAAAUACUUUUGCAUGCUAAAACUAUUCAGAGAAAUAUUCAUGAAGAAUUUUUAGUUUUUCCUUGUACCAACGCAAUGCACUAGAUGUCUGUAGUAAAUAAAAAUUACUCAAUAUAAAUUGUCACUAAAAUCAAAGUUUUGACAUCGCUGUAAAUGAAAGAGAGGAAUGACAUUUAUAAUAUAAAGUAGGAAAGUGUUUUCUGAACCUGGAGCAUGGAGGGACCAUGCUCAAAACUUUAGUCAUCUGAAUUCACUUAAAAAAACUUCUCAAACAAGAAUAACUGAAAUGCCACGCCUGGUUAGUGUGUUCAUUAUAUUUUUAUAUCUAAAAUCACCAUGCAUACUAAUGCUACAUUCAGCACACUAUUAAUAAUCAAAAACUAUUCUACCAUCCACUGAGACUGAAGUUG